CAGGCCGGUUGGGAAAUGUCUGGGGCCAUCCCUGAGCCCCUUCAGUCGUAACAAUAUCUGGAGAGAGAAAAUGCCUGCAGGAAUGUGAAGACUUCUAUAUCUUCUCCAGUAGACUUCACCUCACACCUAUUAGCCAGAAUUGAGUUACAUGACAUUUCUUCAACUAUAUGAGAAAAUGGGAUUACCACGAUGGGCUGCAAUUGUCCCAGAACUGGGGACAAAGUCAUCUUCUUCCAUGUCAUGAGUGGUGAAGUUGCAUCUGCAUGGUGGGAAUGCCAAGUAAGGGAGAGCUACUAUGCAUCUCAACCCUGCGUUCAGUGACAUCACACUGAUCAUCUGAAAAAAGCUAUGCUAGCUGAGCACUCAAAUGAUUUCUCAAUCAACUGGUGGACUGUAAUCUGUGGUUUAGAAACCACUACCUGGAACUGCAUGUAGUGGUCUCCAAUAGAAAAGGAAUUUGCCUCACAAUGUAAAUCAAAAAGCCGCUUCCUUCCCUGAGAAGAUCUUGCUCUGAAAACAAUGUCAGCUGAAUAGCACACUUAGCAACUGUUGGUUUGUGUUCUGGUAGUCACCGAUUCUUU